rnacentral:rRNA from 1 species
CCUACGGGUGGCAGCAGUGAGGAAUAUUGGGCAAUGGACGGAAGUCUGAACCAGCCAUGCCGCGUGCAGGAUGACGGCUCUAUGAGUGUUAAACUGCUUUUGUACAAGGGUAAACCUGAAUACGUGUAUUCAGCUGAAAGGACUGUACGAAUAAGGAUCGGCUAACUCCGGGCCGGCAGCCGCGGUAAUACGGAGGAUCCAAGCGUUAUCCGGAUUUAAUGGGAUUAAAGGGUGCGUAGGCGGAAUGAUAAGUCAGAGGUGAAAUGUCCGGGCUUAACUCGGGAACUGCCUUUAAUACUGGUGAACUAGAGAGUAGAUGCGGGAGGCGGAAU